rnacentral:rRNA from 1 species
GAUGAACGCUGGCGGCGUGCCUAAUACAUGCAAGUCGAGCGAACGGACGAGAAGCUUGCUUCUCUGAUGUUAGCGGCGGACGGGUGAGUAACACGUGGAUAACCUACCUAUAAGACUGGGAUAACUUUGGGAAACCGGAGCUAAUACCGGAUAAUAUUUUGAACCGCAUGGUUCAAAAGUGAAAGACGGUCUUGCUGUCACUUAUAGAUGGAUCCGCGCUGCAUUAGCUAGUUGGUAAGGUAACGGCUUACCAAGGCAACGGUGCAAAGCCGACCUGAGAGGGUGAUCGGCCACACUGGAACUGAGACACGGUCCAGACUCCUACGGGAGGCAGCAGUAGGGAAUCUUCCGCAAUGGGCGAAAGCCUGACGGAGCAACGCCGCGUGAGUGAUGAAGGUCUUCGGAUCGUAAAACUCUGUUAUUAGGGAAGAACAUAUGUGUAAGUAACUGUGCACAUCUUGACGGUACCUAAUCAGAAAGCCACGGCUAACUACGUG